CUUCCGCGUUAGGGAUAGUAGUGGAAAUCCUUUUUUGAGGUAUGAGAAAAAGAUUGCAACGGAUAGCCCGACCCUUG
rnacentral:sRNA from 1 species